UCCACGCAGGUUCUGACCUCUCUUUGCCUC
rnacentral:piRNA from 1 species